rnacentral:piRNA from 1 species
UCCCAUGCUCAUGUUUACACAGGCCCCAGC